UACGAAGGGGGCUAGCGUUGCUCGGAAUCACUGGGCGUAAAGCGCACGUAGGCGGCUUCUUAAGUCAGGGGUGAAAUCCUGGAGCUCAACUCCAGAACUGCCUUUGAUACUGAGUAGCUUGAGUCCGGGAGAGGUGAGUGGAACUGCGAGUGUAGAGGUGAAAUUCGUAGAUAUUCGCAAGAACACCGGUGGCGAAGGCGGCUUCCUGGACCGACACUGACGCUGAGGCGCGAAAGCUAGGGGAGCAAACGGG
rnacentral:rRNA from 1 species